GCAGAUAUAGUUUAACCCGAACAUUAGACUGUGACUCUAAAAAUAGAAGUGAAACUCUUCUUAUCCGCCAAGGGGUGGU
rnacentral:tRNA from 1 species